AAAAAAUUUAACGACGUUUUUGUCUAUAAUUGUCUAUCCUGUUACUGUAACCAUAGCAACCAUAGUAACAGGAUAGACAAAUUUCUUCGUUUUUGAUUGCUGUUGUGAAAUAACUACUCCCUUUGGUGAAGUGAUUAUGGUUUUCUAUUGUGAAUUUGGUUUCCAACACGUUAUUGCACUUUUUACAACCAUACUGUUAGUGUAAUUAAUCAAAAUGGUUGGUAACAGCAUAGACAUGAAAAAAAGUACGCUCUAUUUUUUUCACUAAAUGUCUUGAAAUUUCUUUUCUCUACACUGUCGUUCAAGAAACGAGGCGUUUU
rnacentral:lncRNA from 1 species